GAUGAACGCUGGCGGCGUGCCUAAUACAUGCAAGUCGAGCGAACGGACGAGAAGCUUGCUUCUCUGACGUUAGCGGCGGACGGGUGAGUAAAACGUGGAUAACCUACCUAUAAGACUGGGAUAACUUCGGGAAACCGGAGCUAAUACCGGAUAAUAUUUUGAACCGCAUGGUUCAAAAGUGAAAGACGGUCUUUCUGUCACUUAUAGAUGGAUCCGCGCUGCAUUAGCUAGUUGGUAAGGUAACGGCUUACCAAGGCAACGAUGCAUAGCCGACCUGAGAGGGUGAUCGGCCACACUGGAACUGAGACACGGUCCAGACUCCUACGGGAGGCAGCAGUAGGGAAUCUUCCGCAAUGGGCGAAAGCCUGACGGAGCAACGCCGCGUGAGUGAUGAAGGUCUUCGGAUCGUAAAACUCUGUUAUUAGGGAAGAACAAAUGUGUAAGUAACUAUGCACGUCUUGACGGUACCUAAUCAGAAAGCCACGGCUAACUACGUG
rnacentral:rRNA from 1 species